AAAGCGUAGUCGAUGGAAAACAGGUUAAUAUUCCUGUACUUCCAGUUAUUGCGAUGGAGGGACGGAGAAGGUUAGGCCAGCCUGGCGUUGGUUGUCCAGGUUUAAGGUGGUAGGCUGGAAUCUUAGGCAAAUCCGGGAUUCCAAGGCCGAGAGCUGAUGACGAGUUGCCAUUAGGGGACGAAGUGGUUGAUGCCAUGCUUCCAAGAAAAGCUCCUAAGCUUCAGAUAACUGGGAACCGUACCCGAAACCGACAC
rnacentral:rRNA from 1 species